GACAGAGGUGCCGAGCGUUAGGCGGAAUCACUGGGCUUAAAGCGUGUGUAGGCGGGUCCGUAAGUACCUUGUGAAAUCCCACGGCUCAACCGUGGAACUGCUUGGUAUACUGCGGGUCUGAGCCACCUAGGGGCAAGCGGAACAAACGGUGGAGCGGUGAAAUGCGUAGAUAUCGGGAGGAACACCUAUUGCGAAGGCAGCUCGCUGGGACGUCACUGACGCUGAGACGCGAAAGCGUGGGGAGCAAACAGG
rnacentral:rRNA from 1 species